rnacentral:rRNA from 1 species
AUUGAACGCUGGCGGCAGGCCUAACACAUGCAAGUCGAGCGGAUGAAGGGAGCUUGCUCCUGGAUUCAGCGGCGGACGGGUGAGUAAUGCCUAGGAAUCUGCUUGGUAGUGGGGGAUAACGUCCGGAAACGGGCGCUAAUACCGCAUACGUGCUGAGGGAGAAAGUGGGGGUUCUUCGGACCUCACGGUAUCAGAUGAGCCUAGGUCGGUUUAGCUAGUUGGUGGGGUAAAGGCCUACCAAGGCGACGAUCCGGAACUGGUCUGAGCGGAUGAUCAGUCACACUGGAACUGAGACACGGUCCAGACUCCUACGGGAGGCAGCAGUGGGGAAUAUUGGACAAUGGGCGAAAGCCUGGUCCAGCCAUGCCGCGUGUGUGAAGAAGGUCUUCGGAUUGUAAAGCACUUUAAGUUGGGAGGAAGGGCAGUAAGUUAAUACCUUGCUGUUUUGACGUUACCAACAGAAUAAGCACCGGCUAACUUCGUG